ACCACUUAUCAGCCGCCCGCCCUGCCCUGCGCAGCCCGUCAGGGAAAGCCAUGCUCGCCGCUGCCCGCAGGUGCCGGCAGGCGCCAGCCCUGCGCCCCGGGGGCUGGCUGCGCUCCCGCUCUUCCCGCACGCACCGGCGGGUGUGAGACGUUUUGCAACGCGUCUCCCUGCACCUCCCGGCCGGUGGGCGGCGGCGGCGGCUCCGCUGGUUUCUCCCAGGGAAGAAGCCCCCAGCCCCGGGAUGGGUUUCUCGGCGCCGGCCCCUGCCGUGCGGCUCUGCGGCCACAGGGGUGCUAUUGAAAAGGAAGCUGAGAACGCAGGGACAGGUUGUACUUCCUGUGCUGAGAAGCAUGGACAGACUCAUCCUAUGUGCAAUAGACAGUCAAGAUUCAGUGUUUUAUAACCAGUUCCUCAGUGCAAGCGUGCUGUGUGACUUCAAGCAGAGCACAAGUUACCACACCUGCUUAACUGUUAAGGUCACACGAUAAAAAUUACUGACUCCAGAGAGAUUUGCUUCUUGACUCUUCUGACCAUUAAGCUAAGAUGGGGGAGAAUGCUCCUUUCUCUGGAUCGCUGGAGUUAAACCCACAACUGCAUCUAGAAAAGAUGACACCCAAAAGGAAGUCAAUACGGGGAAUUACCUGCUUAACCUCAAUCAGAAGAGAAUGAAAGCUGAAGUACAGCUGCCAAAGAAAAGCAGUGGUGGGUGGAAGAAAGGCCUACUUUGAGUGAAGCUGGAUGGAUGCUGCCUUCACCCUCAGCUCUACUGCCAGAGGGGGAUGUGCUUUGGUUUUGCUUCCUGUCCCUACCACCAGUGUGAGAAAGCAGGCAGGUGGGAAACUGGAACUGCAAAAACAUUCCCUGGUGUACAGUGGGGGUUGGCAGGUAAGUGGCAGGUGGGGGCUGCUGUCAGGGAAUGGACUAAGAGUGGCUGUACAAUGUGUAGGCAUGUUGUUAGAGUAUCUGUCUGCUGUAAUGGGUCCAAUAUAAUAAAAC